CGUGGGGACUGCAAAUAUGCGUGGUCCCCGACAUUCAUCAUUCAGGCAUAUUGCUUACUGGAGAGACAGAUGGCACUGACCGCUGAACAGAAAGCCGCGAUCGUCAACGAAUACGGCCGUGGUGAA
rfam:Halomonas elongata DSM 2581, complete genome